ACUCAAAGGAAUAGACGGGGACCCGCACAACUGGUGGAGCGUGUGGUUUAAUUCGAGACAAAGCGAAAAACCUUACCAGGGCUUGACAUACUAGAGUUCUAUUUUCUGGAAACAGAGAAAAUCCGUAAGGAGACUAGUACAGGUGCUGCAUGGCUGUCGUCAGCUCGUGCCGUGAGGUGUUCCCUUAAGUGGGGAAACGAGCGCAACCCCUGUCUAAUGUUACAUAUUCAUUAGAGACAGCCCCGAUUCUAUCGGGGAGGAAGGAAGGGAAGACGUCAAGUCAGCAUGGUCCUUAUGCCCUGGGUUACACACACCCUACAAUGGCGAAAAACAAUGAGCCGCAAGCUAGCAAUAGCAAGCAAAUCUCUUAAAUUUCGCCUCAGUUCAGAUUGGGGGCUGCAACCCGCCCCCAUGAAGGAGGAAUCAGUAGUAAUCGCGGAUCAGCAGGCCGCGGUGAAUACGUUCUCGGGUCUUGUACACACCGCCCGU
rnacentral:rRNA from 1 species